AAAGACAAGCUUUGUCGUUUUCUCUCGGUGAAAAGCAGGCUGGCUUCACGGCAGAAACGUUACCACUUAUUUUUUUACAAGAAAGCUUCAUAAACGGACAUGCGGUGCAUCAUGGACGAACUAACAGAGCCGAGGCUCCUCGUAUGCCCUCCAAAUGGCCAGUCAUGGACGAAAAGAGCAAAAGAAACGUUAUCUUGGCAGGCUGGUACGCUACACUAACAGGUGGUUGUGUGCCCACAGUGGAACUGUUGUGCAAUCACAGACCGGAAACCAUUAGCUUGAUGUUUUCACGUCAGAUGGAUGAGAAUGCAUCUUUUUGUCCAUGAGGAUGAUAAAACAAUAUAACAAUAUGGCUCAGCGCCAUCUGGAGAAAGUGCCCCCAAAUCCAUGGAGAGGCGCCAUCACAGUCUGUCCCAUACAGGCCCCGUCCUCGGAUUGUGACUGAACUACAAAUUUCAACGGUGACAGCUUUAAAUGCCUCGUUUUCUUCAUUUGUCUUCUUUCUGUUUGAAUUUUGCCACAACGAAAGAUAGAAGCAGUUGGCAGGGUGGAUUGAGUGGAUUCUCGAUAUGAUCCUUUUAUAUUUCACUAUUCCCUUUGGUUGAGCGUAUGAUGUGUAAUUCUCUGUCAAAACGCUAGGGGCGCUGUUUUCCAGACAACCACUCAUACUCAUACAGGAUUUAUUUUUACUUCAAAAUGGGCGUUAUUUCAAAUCUAGAGAGCUCUAUAAAAUGUAUUUAGAAGGUCGUAAACAGUUUUUUUUGUGCUCUAUGAAAAUAUUUAUCAAUAGGGAACCCUAUUUAUCAAUAAGGAAUCUAUGACAAAAAAAUUAAAAAAAUUUUAAAAUUAAAAUUUUUUUAAACAUUUAGGGGUGCUGUUUUCCAGACAACCACUCAUACUCAUACAGGAUUUAUUGUUACUUAAAAAGGGGUGUUAUUUCAUAGUUUUUUGCGCUCUAUGAAAAUAUUUAUCAAUAAGGAACCCUAUUUAUCAA